GAUUGCCUGUCUCUUUCAGUGGUUGUCAAAGACUAUCUUCAAGCUCUCAUGUUUGAUAUUCAAAUAUCCCAUCCUGUGGGGAAUCUUCCCAAAAUAUUGUCUAGCACAAUUAUUUGCCUAGGGUUUCCACUGUAAAAAUCAUUAGCUGUGGGUUUAUCAUGUAUAGUUGUGUAGUUUGUGCACUGCACAAAAGUACCCAGGGGAGACAUAAAUCCAACCAGUCUUCCACCUGCUAUGCCUGUGUCUUAGCAUAUGGAGGUUUCUCGAAGGGGGGAAAAAGUGUGGGGUAGAGGAGGGGAGGGUGCCUUGUUGCACCCAAAAAUGUCAUUAAUUUUCUGAACCAUCUAAUAAUAGAACUAUCUUUGCCUAGAGGGAAAGCUUGUUCUAAUUUACACAUCUUAGAAAAUGUGGUUUUCCUUCAAAUUCACACAAAAUUGCUGUAUAGGCUAACUGCAAAACUUGCUGGCUGUAACACCUCUUAGUUACCUGUAUAUAUAUUUUUCUCAGAUAAAUUGUGACCAAAACCCAAACUAUGUACUUACUGAUCUUGGAAUAAGUAGUAUCCCAGUAAGUACUCCAGAGUCUGGCACAGAGAAAACAUCAAUAAGUGCCGUACAUUCAAUGAAUUAUUCCUUUGGAAGACAAAAAUGGGGAGAAAUUUGCAUCAAAUUUAAGAUCCAGUAGUAAAAACCCUGCCACUAGAAUUCCUGGCAUAUUUAAUUUACCUGGUUGUGAUUUGAAAUAACUCACCAUUUUUUCCAAAGCAUCAUAUCAACAUGUAGUAAUGGUUAGAAUGCCUUUGAAUUCAGAAAAUAUCAACUCCAAAAUACAAUUGAUUUAAUUCUGUCUACACAAUUCGCUGGGAUAAAAUUUCCUUAUUAGUUUCUUCAUAGAGAGGACAAAUGCCUCAUUAAUUUUAAACAUAUCAAUUUGAGAAGGCUAUACGCAUCAAAUAGAAUAAUGACUGACAUUAUAAAGAACACAAUACACUGCAUACCAAAAUUAAAUUGCCCAUUCUUCACCCAGAAGAAAUGCAUACCUUUAUUUGUACUUUAUAAGCUUCACGAGGAGAAAUCCAAUGAGAUAUUUAAGCCACAGUGGGAGCUGGAGGAUAUUAUGUCAUGGAAAGACUACCAUUCCAUCACUAGCAAAAAUAUCCUGCAUACUGUGGGCUACAUAAGCAAAGAUCUCCCAUGUGAAAGUACUCCUUUACAUUUAUAAAUCGUUUCACUAAGACAUGUCUUUCUCACUCCCAGUUUGAGUCGGCACCAUCAAUCGCCAUAGAAAUAAAAAAUGUUAUUCAGUUCAGUUUCAUUUGCUGCUCCUUCACGCAGUUCUUUUAAAGAUAUCUAUUAAUUUAUUAAAUCAGUCAAAUUAACACCUUUAUUUGUUUGUUAAAAGUUUGAUAGCUUUUAGAGUGCAGAAAGGGGCUACGGGAACAUCUUCUGGACUGUGGACAAAGUUCUAUUUCUUAGCCUGUGGGGACGAUUACAAACUUGUCUCAUUGGUAUAUUUUCUACACAAAUGCCAAAGUCGUGGUUCAGAAAGCCAUCCCUCUUCUCAAAUCUUCCUGUGACUUACCUGACAUGGGAUAAAAUCUAAGUUCUUACUGUGAUCUACAAGGCCCUUAAGACAUGGUCCCUUUUAUCUUCGUGCUCACCAACCACACAAGAUACAUGAGGCAGGCUCCUGCUGAAGGGCCACCCUGCUCCCUGUGUCUUCAGCCUUGAAAGCUCUGCCCCCAGUCGUCAUCACGACUCACUCCCUCACUUUAUUUACUUAGAUAUCUGUGUAAAAGUCUGUCUUUCAGAGAUGCCCGCCCAUCACUGCUAUCAUCUUACCCUUUAUCUUUCUUUUUCCACCUGCCACAGUCUGACACAUGUUAUAUUAAUUCAUCAUAUGAUUUAAUCCACUGAAACAUAAGUGCUAAGGGCAGAGACUAUUUGUUCACAGUUGUAUCACCAUCAUUAUCACAACACUACUAUAUACUAGGAGCUCAAUUUUUUUAUAGGUAAAUAAAAUAAUAUUGCUGGACCGUUAGUCAUGUGUAUCUAAUGCACUUGAAGUUGUACAGAGGAAUCUGUCAUCAUUAAAUAUAUAUUAGUAUAGUUAAAGAGAUGAGAUAGAUAACUGACAAAAACACUGUGGCCUAUCAAAUCAUGUAUGAACCCAAUCUAAUGUUUCAGCUACAGUAAUGCAGGUGCUAUAAUUGAAGGAUCCUUUUCCCUGUUCAGUAUAUUACCAGUAAUACUUUCAAAGUGUACAUUUAUGUAGAAGGAUUUACAUACUUGCACUUGGAUAUUUUUACAACACUUUUAAACUUUUGUCCUUGUUCUUAAUUUCCAAUGCAUGUCAGAUAAUUAAAUAAAUGAGUUGCGUAACUGCUAUAUAGCAAGAAUACUUUCUCCAGAGGAAACAAGUCAUGUAUAUAAGAAUGCUUACUGUUCAGAAUCUGAACAGUACAACCUUUUUUGAAGAUCUGUCCUUGUCAUUUGCUGUGUGCCAUUGAAUAGAAAAGCAAAUGUAAAAUGAAAUUUGUGCAUCCGAGAUGGAUUCUACCCUAGGUGCAACUUUACAGUUAUUUUCCCAGCACUGGCUCCUGUGAUUGUCUAUGUCCGUUAAAGGUAUUUUAAUCCUGAGGAUAAUUACCUGUUCAUUGCAAUACUAAGGAUCCUUGAGUACAAAGGGAGAUGUUUAGCACAUUAAUAAACAGAAUUCAUGAGGGAUUUCCAUUUAUCUAGUAAAUCCAUAUUAAAGACACUUAAUUAUGUGAGUUGCAGAUUUGUUUCAAGAGGAUAAACCAAAGAAACUAAUAAUGCUAACAUACAUUUUCUCCUAUACUUUUUCAAACAAAACUUAGAGAAUCACUGUUUAUCAUACUUGAUUCAAUUCAUAUAGAAAUAUAAAUAAAAUAUCCACGGUAAAAUAGGUCACUCCUCCAAAAUUAUUGUAAAAUUUGUAUAUUUCAAUAAGGGAAUGCUUUUUUUUGGCUAUAGCCAUUACUAUUAAGAAAAAUUAUUAGGCAUCUAUUUUCUGAAAAUUAUUAGAUAUCUAAAUGUGUUGGGUGCAAGAGUAUUAAAACAUAGUUGCUGCCCUUUAAGGGAUCCAAAGCUGGGUAAAAGUCCAUCCCUGAGUCUAAAGAUAUACAGUCCAGUGCGGGAGACAGGCAUACAAAAAGAAAUAUCACAGAUAUAAGUGGAGCAAGAGUGGGGUCCUAUUACAGGAUAUCCAAGAGCCUGGGUGCUAGGAAGGGCUUUCGAAGGGGCUUGGGAUGUCUCACAAGGUGCAUAGGAGUCGUUCAAAGGAAUGAGUGGUGGGGGGGUGACGUGAAAGGCCACCUCCGAGUCCUGCAGUGAGGCCGGGGGGUGAGCAACAGUGAGACUGGAGAGGAGACAGAGUUGACGCCAGGAAGGGAGGCAUUCGGCAGGUGACUGGUAUUAUCGAUGUGUGGGUGUGUGGCGCACAGAUGUGAAGGAGCACAAGACUGAGGGCAAAGAGACUAUUUGGGAGAUGGGACUAACUGUCUGAAAGAGAUAAUAUCAGCCUGAAAAUGUCCGCGCGGUAAAGAUAAAGAAAAGAACACACAUAUGAAAAUAUGUCAGAGUCAAUCGGGAGGACUCUGGUUUUUUGGAAUGAGAAGGCCAAAGAGGAAGAGAUGCCUUGUUACAGAAAUAUUGGUGGUGCAAGGGAAAUUGAACUGAAACACACCUACAGAAUUGUUAAUAUAAAGUAUAUAAAGUACCGAAUUGAGUUGUUCAACAUAUUUGCUGCUUUCUCACUCUGAGUGAAUUAUUCAUUACCAGCUAUUGACAUCGAGUUUUGUCCUGUGACUCACAUUAACUGAUGAAAUGGGAGCAGAAGUGAUACGGUGGUUUGCCAAGAAGAAAUUUUCAGAGCAAUUGCCAAGGUUCUAUUAUGUUCUAUUUUCCCUCAAACUUGAGGUCAACAAUGUCUCAGAUCAAAGUUAUUCCUUUAGCUUGGGUCUGAAAUUGAAGACAGCUUGUGGAGUACAGCCUUGGAGUAAAGCCACAACUGACCCAGAAUGUACAUGCAGCAGGAGAGAGAAGAAUCCUUUGUUGUCUCCAGCCAGACCCAUUUCUGGGCUGUUUAUUUCUGUAACGUAACUGAGCCUCAUUAAUUCAAUGGCUAUCCUGAUAUUAGUCU
rnacentral:lncRNA from 1 species